rnacentral:lncRNA from 1 species
AGCAGGGUUCUCAGCCUCGCCCAUCACACUCACCCACUUCCGCCCAGCAGCAGCAGGUAACUCCUCCCCAAGACUUGGAUCCCAAAGGAGCCAGUGUCUGGGGGGCAUCCAGGCAGCACCUACCUCUUGUCCUUCCUCCCGCUGCUCGAUUCCACUUUCAGCCCCCUGCCCUGUGAUUUCAGGACAAAGCUUCCCAGGUGCAGGUCUGAAAGCUUCCACCUCCUUCGAGAGGUGGGUGUGGGGGCCUGUGGGGCCCAGUGAUGCUGGCAAGGGGAGAAGGUCCAGGCAGGGGCGGGGUUGCGGAUCCACAGUGGGAUGCGGGGCUGAACGGUUAUGUCCCGGUAGGUAGGGGCUGCAGAAAGAGCCCCGAG